rnacentral:rRNA from 1 species
GUCUAUGGCCAUACCACCCUGAAUGUGCCUGAUCUUGUCUGAUCUCGGAAGCUAAGCAGGUUUGGGUCUGGUUAGUACUUGAAUGGGAGAAUGUUGCACUACUAGUAUUGUUUACU